GGACAGACUUCCAUGAACAUUUUUAGUAAGUAAUGACAUGUUAUGUAGAAUUGUGGAGUCAAGUCCCUUUGUAACUUAGAAAAUUUUAUGCCCUGUUCUUCUUUGAGCAACUUUUCUAAAACCCUUUUUUCUGAUCUUUAUAAAACUUUGUUGUUAACAAGAACAUUCUCUGUAGAUGUUACUAAUUGCAGGAAAGUUUUAUUCCAAUUCUUUUCCUGAGAUUUAUGACCCAUUUUAUCUAAUUAAUUGUAGUAUCAUUGCCACUCAUUUUGUGUAGCUUUGUCAAGAAAGUUGAAAAAAAAGGCAUGUUGGCUUGCUCACUUUUUCUUUUAACUGCUGUCAUAUUAAAGAGAUGGUAAGAAUCAACAUCUGACAAGUUUGAUAGCAUUGUGAAAAUAGACUUCAGUAACAAAAUACUUGAAGCGUGUUUGAAUGACAAAACCAUAAUAAGGUCGACCAUCCUCGCUUCUUCAUGGAGUGAAUGGUUGAACUUUCUUCUCUUUUUAAUUGUUUAUUUGGAGCUACAUGAAAAAAAAUUCCAUUUAUAGCCUUUGCCAAAAUUCUACCCCAAUCGUAUGCCAUUUGAAUGUGCAGGGUAUUCUGUGAAGCAACAUAUGAAUGUAUGUGAUUGUAUGCCUAAUUUUUUUUAUUGAAAAACAAUUUUGAUCACUGGACAUUUUGCAUGUAUCAUUUGAUUUAAGUAAACUUUUCUACUGUUUAAGGCAAGUUUUAAUACAUUUUGUACUAAACAUUUGUUUUCCCUCAAACCAUAUCUUACAAAUAAUCUUGGCAUUUCAAAGAGAGAAAUGUCCUGGUUGUGUUGAAUAUUGAAGAAAUGAAAGUUGUUGGUUAUUGCAUGAAUUUAUUGUUGGAUCUCUUAAACUUUGAAUGAAAGAAAAACAUGUGUUUAUAUAAUGCAUGUAUUUAUUAGAAUAUGAAUAAAAGAGGC
rnacentral:sRNA from 1 species